rnacentral:rRNA from 1 species
UACGUAGGGUGCGAGCGUUAAUCGGAAUACUGGCGUAAGCGUGCGCAGGCGGUGAUGUAAGACAGAUGUGAAAUCCCCGGGCUCAACCUGGGAACUGCAUUUGUGACUGCAUCGCUGGAGUGCGGCAGAGGGGGAUGGAAUUCCGCGUGUAGCAGUGAAAUGCGUAGAUAUGCGGAGGAACACCGAUGGCGAAGGCAAUCCCCUGGGCCUGCACUGACGCUCAUGCACGAAGCGUGGGAGCAACAG